rnacentral:rRNA from 1 species
CGCGGCCUAUCAGCUUGUUGGUGGGGUAGUGGCUUACCAAGGCUUUGACGGGUAGCCGGCCUGAGAGGGUGACCGGCCACAUUGGGACUGAGAUACGGCCCAGACUCCUACGGGAGGCAGCAGUGGGGAAUAUUGCACAAUGGGCGGAAGCCUGAUGCAGCAACGCCGCGUGCGGGAUGACGGCCUUCGGGUUGUAAACCGCUUUCGCCUGUGACGAAGCGUGAGUGACGGUAAUGGGUAAAGAAGCACCGGCUAACUACGUGCCAGCAGCCGCGGUGAUACGUAGGGUGCGAGCGUUGUCCGGAUUUAUUGGGCGUAAAGGGCUCGUAGGUGGUUGAUCGCGUCGGAAGUGUAAUCUUGGGGCUUAACCCUGAGCGUGCUUUCGAUACGGGUUGACUUGAGGAAGGUAGGGGAGAAUGGAAUUCCUGGUGGAGCGGUGGAAUGCGCAGAUAUCAGGAGGAACACCAGUGGCGAAGGCGGUUCUCUGGGCCUUUCCUGACGCUGAGGAGCGAAAGCGUGGGGAGCGAACAGGCUUAGAUACCCUGGUAGUCCACGCUGUAAACGGUGGGUACUAGGUGUGGGGUCCAUUCCACGGGUCCCGUGCCGUAGCUAACGCUUUAAGUACCCCGCCUGGGGAGUACGG